CCAUGCUGGCUUUCCCAACCAUAUGCUUCAUCUGACUUAUGAUAAUCUGCAGUAGGAAGAGAUAUUUUGCUUUCCUAAAUGCAUCUCUGCACACCCUGGAAACGUCCUUGUAUUUUUCAACAGGGACAAGUGUUUGCUGUAACACCAUUUCACAUACAGUCUUAUGCCAGCACACACAUUCAAAUUAGAAAGAGACAGCAGGAAGAAAAAGCUGAAUGCCAGAACCUUGUCAUACUUCAUCUCUGGAGAUGCAAAGAUAACAAGUGUUGACUGAGAAAGGAUGGGAAAAAAGAAACAACAGAAGCCAUCAUGAGAAAAAAAAAUUCUACUUGAAGCAGCAUCAAGUGUAAAGGACACCUACAAAAAGGGAGAUGCAGUCCUGUCACAAUUCAUAGAGAAUUAUAUACUUAACAACUAA